UGUACUCCGAGGCUCCGGCGCCGCCAUCAUGUCGACGGCUAUGAAUUUUGGGUCUAAGAGCUUCCAGCCGCGGCCCCCGGACAAGGGCAGCUUCCCGCUGGAUCACUUCGGCGAAUGUAAAAGCUUUAAGGAGAAGUUCAUGAAGUGUCUCCGCGACAAUCGAUUCGAAAAUGCCUUGUGCAGAAAUGAGUCGAAGGACUACUUAGAAUGCAGAAUGGAAAGGCAGCUGAUGGCACAGGAGCCCCUGGAAAAACUGGGAUUUGGAGAUUUGCUUGAUGGAAAAAAAGCAGAGGCAGAAACUAACUCUUGAUGGGAAGAGGUCCAUCCACCGGCUGCUGGGUAAUUCAGGCUGGAGCAUGUCCAGUGACUUCGUCACCUGACGAUUUACGGUCAUGACCUUGGAUUGUGGGAUUGAGCCCCGUGCCGGGCCCUGCGGUGACAACAUGGAUUCUGAUGGGAUUGUCUCCUCGUUCUCUGCCCCUCCCUGGCUCCCUCGCUCCUUGUCAAAAAUAAACAUUAAAAAUUUUUAAUAAUGGAAUAAAUGUGUCAGCAAGGGAAGGACAGCUCCUGUAGCACCAGUGGGAACAGCGUUCCCUCCAUAGCUGCAAGGGGUGCAGAGAACCGCGGGGGCCCUCCCCUCAGAGUGCCCGCGCUUACAAAGGGUCAGUGUGUCAGUGUGGUCGCCAGGUGGCAACUUGCCCACAGCUGCUGCCCUGAGAAGGUGUGGUGACAUCUGUCUAAUGAGCAGACACCAAACUACACAUUCUGCACUGAAGACCAGGCUGUUGAGGAGGCUCAGGGUCCCGAAGGACAGGAACUGAGGAGACUGACGGCCACGGGGCCUGUAGCAGCCAGAAUGGUGGUGGGCAUUCUGGGAGGCCUGGCACCUGCAGCGUGGUUACUGGGACGCUUGAGCUCCUGUUCUGUGGUUACGUAAGAUGCUGUUGGGGGAAGCUGGACAUCUGAACGCGUGUCUUGUUCUUGCAAAUUUUGGGAAGUUCUAGGGGCCCCUGGGUGGCUCGGUCAGUCAAGUGACCGACUUCGGCUCAGGACA